AUCUGAUGGUGAGGACAGCUGGAACACAACUUCUUGAAUCUCUCCCAGUACUCAUGUAGAGUCUCACCACUUAUCUGCCUUAUACCACAAAUUUCUUUCCUUAUGGAU